UAAGUUAGCAGUAGUAGACGCGAAACCUGGUGAUCUACCCAUGGGCAGGUUGAAGCGCUGGUAACACAGCGUGGAGGACCGAACCGGUUGACGUUGAAAAGUCUUCGGAUGACCUGUGGGUAGGGGUGAAAGGCCAAUCAAACCAGGAAAUAGCUCGUACUCCCCGAAAUGCAUUUAGGUGCAGCGAUAUAGUAAGUUUUAUAGAGGUAGAGCUACUGAUUGGAUGCGGGGGCUUCACCGCCUACCAAUUCCUGACAAACUCCGAAUGCUAUAAAAUGUUAUAUAUCAGUGAGGGCAUGGGUGCUAAGGUCCGUGUCCGAGAGGGAAAGAACCCAGACCAUCAGCUAAGGUCCCCAAAUAUAUGUUAAGUUGAAGAAACGAGGUCCAAUUGCUUAGACAGCUAGGAUGUUGGCUUGGAAGCAGCCAUUCAUUUAAAGAGUGCGUAACAGCUCACUAGUCGAGCGAUAGGGCAUGGAUAAUAAUCGGGCAUAAACAUAUUACCGAAGCUAUGGACUUUUAAAAGUGGUAGGGGAGCAUUCUAUACGAGUAGAAGAUGUACUGCGAGGUAUGUUGGAUUGUAUAGAAAAGAAAAUGUAGGCAUAAGUAACGAUAAAGGGGGCGAGAAACCCCCUCACCGAAAGACUAAGGUUUCCUCAGCGAUGCUAAUCAGCUGAGGGUUAGUCGGGGCCUAAGGCGAACCCGAAAGGGGUAGUCGAUGGACAACAGGUUAAUAGUUCCAAGAAAAGCGAGUGAAGCAGCCCGUACCGUAAACCGACACAGGUAGUUGGGAUGAGGAUUCUAAGGUGCUCGAGAGAUUCAUGGCUAAGGAACUAGGCAAAAUAGACCUGUAACUUCGGGAGAAAGGUCGCCCUCCUCAGGGAGGGCCGCAGUGAAGAGGUCCAGGCGACUGUUUAUCAAAAACACAGGACUCUGCUAAAUCGAAAGAUGAUGUAUAGGGUCUGACACCUGCCCGGUGCUGGAAGGUUAAUUGGAGUUGUUAGCUUCGGCGAAGCAAUGAAAUGAAGCCCCAGUAAACGGCGGCCGUAACUAUAACGGUCCUAAGGUAGCGAAAUUCCUUGUCGGGUAAGUUCCGACCUGCACGAAUGGUGCAACGAUGAAGCUGCGUCGCCAGGCGUAGUGGAGUCAUUGUUGAAAUACCACCCUUUGCUUAUCUAGAGCCUAACCCAGCGAUGGGGACAGUGCUUGGUGGGUAGUUUGACUGGGGUGGUCGCCUCCAAAAGCGUAACGGAGGCUUCUAAAGGUACCCUCAGCACGCUUGGUAACCGUGCGUAGAGUGUAAUGGCAUAAGGGUGCUUGACUGAGAGACCUACAAGUCGAUCAGGUACGAAAGUAGAGCAUAGUGAUCCGGUGGUUCCGAAUGGAAGGGCCAUCGCUCAAAGGAUAAAAGGUACUCCGGGGAUAACAGGC
rnacentral:rRNA from 1 species